rnacentral:rRNA from 1 species
AUGAGAAGUGAGCGGGCAGCCAGAGAAAAAGAGAAGCGACCGGGCGUCUUCCCUGUGACCCUCGUCCCCUCUUGCCGUCGCCGGCUCCUCUCCUCUCCCCGCGCCUCGUCCGCCUCCUCUCCUCCCUCUUCCCUGUCUCCUCACCCGCACCGCCAACUCCUUCUCUCUCCUUGCCCCAGCCGUCUCUCUCCUCCCGCGCGCCGUCAGCUCCGAAUCUGGAGGAAGAGGAGAGAUGCUGGAUUUGGAGGAAGAGGAGAGAUGCGGGAUCUGGAGGAGGAAGAGGAGAUCCGGGCGUCCCGGCGGUGGCUCGACCAAUGCAAGCUGACCUCCUCAUCUCCGACGCGGCCUCUAACCACAUUCUCGACGACGACGCGUUGCUCAUCCCCGCCGGCUUCGAUCUCGUUAUCACGCGUGCCCAUCAAGUUCGUGGACGGCCGCGGGGACGCAUCGGCUCCUUGUGAGGACAAAGCUGAGGACCAGCAUGGUUGUGGGCGCAGUGACCGAGGCGAUGGCAUUGCGUCAUUUUUGCCUCCAUUUCAUUAUUUUUAUGAUCCAGAUAAGGCUGUUCGUCCUGGUUUGGAGGCAGAUGGUGCCAAGGUAGCUCAAAGUUCCGAGAAAAGGUGGUUGCGAAUCUCAGGCUUUGCAUGUCCGUCUAUGACAUCCUUGCCGUCAAAGGCAGAUUCAUCUUUCUAG